AAGCCAGCCAAUUGAUCUGCUUAUCUGAAUGUGUUUCUGCAGGAAUUUAGACACAGCUGGCAAUAGUGAUGACAUCUUAUAAGCCUUAAGGACAACAGAUCAUUACGGUCCCUGAAAACAGCUACAAUA